UCUCCCUCCUGGACUCAAAACUUAUUGAGAAAUGGUGUUGUAAUUGAUCUUUCUCUUUUGAACAAUGCCUAGACUUAAUAGGAACUGGUUAUUUGUUGACAGAUUUAAUUCAAAAUAAUAAUAAUAUUACUAAUAUUAAUAAAGUAAUAUGUGCGUACACAUUUCCAGAGAUAAAUUUGUAUAUUAGUAUUCCUUGUAAGAUGCUUAUCAUAAUAAACAACUGGAUUGUGAAGAGUCUAUCUCAGGUAUUAAAAUCUUAUCAAAGAACAUAGCAACUGAGAUUUUUAUUCUCUGACAAAACUGAAUAUGUCAAACAUUUGAUUCUAAAGCUUGUCUUUUUCCCUAAAGACUUAAAAUAAUUUAUUUAAGUAAUUGCCAUUAGUUACAGCCAAGAUUUCCAACUCAAGAAAAUUUGCUUGGACUAGAAAAGAAAACAGAAAAUUAAAAUACAAACAGAAUAUUCAUCAGCUAUGUAUGUUUUGUAAUCUGAACAAUAAGAUCCUUCAAAUUCUCCUUGGUAAGCUGAGAUCGAUUUGGGUUAAUCUUUUAUUUUGCUUUAUUUCCAAAGGACAUCCAUUACCUUGCACUAGACAAGGGUGAAUUGGCACUAGCUGAAGUGGCAAGAAAGAGAGCUAGUGACAUUGAUGCAGAAUCAAUAACAUCUGGAGUUGAAUUUCCAGAGGACUCUGAUCGAGCUGGCUUCCUUCCCCAAGUUGUGCCAAUCAACUACAGCCAGAGGGCUGGGUCACAUAGCUCCAAGGAAAAGGCAUCUGCAAUUGGAUCUGAUACUGGGGUCAGUUUUUAGGACAAGGAUAUUAGGCAGAACUUCUGGGGCCUUUGGACAGAGGGGAUAUGCUAAAUGAAGUUUUUCUUGGCCAGUCUUUAACAGUUCAAGGAGAAGACACAUUUCCAGAUAAUCUCCCCCCCUUUUGUUCAAUCUAUAGACACAUUACUCAACAAAGAACACUAAAUGUCUCUGCUGACAGGUAAGCAACACUAAAGUGAGAAAAUUGCUCCAUGAAGGAAAAGUAUUUAGUAUAAACAGUUUAAGUAUUCCCUGUUUAAAUGCAAACUAAUAGUUCAGCAAGGAUAGUUCAAAAUGUCAAAGAAAAUAUGUCCAUUUUCACACAGCUAGGAUUUUGCAGUAGUUUAACCCUGGAAGAGCAGGUAUGAUGGAGGCAGAAAUGAAUACAAACAGAAUAUUGUCAGAAUGAAUGUUAUUUCAG
rnacentral:lncRNA from 1 species